AACGCAUAUUGCGCCCUUUGGUAUUCCGAGGGGCAUGCCUGUUCGAGCGUCAUUUACAUUCUCAAGCGUUUGCUUGGUGUUGGAGAUUGCCCCGGCGGGGCACCUCCGAAACAUAGCGGCGACGUAGCCGGACUUCCUGGCGUAGUGACCUUUUCCACCGCCCCGGAGUUGUCGGUCGUGCGUUAGCCAGACAACACCCCCUCUCUAAAAUCGACCUCGGAUCAGGCAGGACUACCCGCUGAACUUAA
rnacentral:misc_RNA from 1 species